rnacentral:lncRNA from 1 species
AAUGAAGAACGCCAUUCCCAUGCCAGUUUACCCUAAAAAUAUCAAUCCUCCAAAUUCGGCGCUUCAAUCCCACGAUCUCUCACGCUUUCAACUCCUCGCCCACGAAUUCUUCUAUAUUGGAUUUCAGUCCUAUAUUGGCGCUUCAAUCCCACUAUCUCUCCCACGAUUUCAUCUCCUCACCCACGAUUUCUUCUGCCUCGGAUUCUCAGUACCAUGAUUUCACAGUUUUGUCAAAUUAGUUUUUUACUUUUACAGCAUAUAGUUCUAUUUUUUCUCCCUUAUGUGCGUAUGAAACAACAACUAUAGACUACAAGAGGUGAUUGGUAUGAUUUAUGUUUCAUGAACAAUUUUAUUCCAAUUGAGAUUGUAUUGAUAAUGUCUGUGAAGUUUGUUGACGGCGUUUGUUAUAUAAAAAAACCCGGUAUCUAUGGCAGCUAUUGUUUACCAAUCUUGGGGUUUACCACAGAUUCUUGCUCAUGUGCCGUCGUUGCAUUUCACAUGCAUUUUUUGGAGAAUUAUCAGCCACAAGUCAAUUAUUUCAGAUGAUCUAUUGCUUCAUAUGUAUUUCUAUAAGCAUUUUGUUGGAGUUUCUACUUAUAUUUAUAAAUACCUCUAUCUAUUUCAGGACUUACUGGUGGCUGAAAUAUAUUUGGUUAGUGAAAUUAACAGCAAGUCAAUGAGUUGGAAAUUAAAGGUUCGAAUUGUCAGGCUUUGGAAAAAUUCGGAUCGCAAAGACCUGAUAACCCUUUUUCCAAUUGAGAUUAUUCUGAUGGAUUAAAAGGUAUUGUUUUAAACUUUAUGAUUACGUUCUAUUUAGGUCCAACCAUGGUAUGGAUUUCUGCAAUCCUGCAUGCUGAAGAGGAAAAUAUGUCCUUAAAUAUCACAUAUUAGUUUACUAAUUCCUUGGUUACUCUGAGUCUUGCUAACUGUAAUCUAUUCGAUGAUGCUUUUCCAGUUGCUUUCAGUAGCUUUUUCUUAUUGCAAAACUUAGAUUUGAGCGAAAAUCCAAUUUGCAUUCUACCAAAGGGCAUAAUUUAUCUCACGGAUGGGCAACACGCCCAUAGUCAAAUUCCUGCCAAAUAUUUUACUUUAGUUGUUAUAGAUACCUAGACAAGAGGGGUUGCUCUGAUGGUAAGCAACCUCCACUUCCAACCAAGAGGUUGUGAGUUCGAGUCUCCCCAAGAGCAAGGUGGGAAGUUCUUGGAGGGAAGAAUGCCAGAGGUCUAUUUGGAAACAGCCUCUCUACCCUAGGGUAGGGGUAAGGUCUGCGUACACACUACCCUACCCAGAUCCCACUAAGUGGGAUUAUACUGGAUUGUUGCUGUUGUUAUUGUUAUAGAUACCUAAAAGGUAACUACUUACUUUUGUUGUAGCUAAUUAAAGUAAUUGUAAAAUUGAGGUGUCCUCUAUCGAAAAUCACAAUUUGAUUUCUGUCUUUUAAGAAUAUAAUUUUCAGUUUCAGUUAACAUUCUGUAAUCUCUUUUCUGUCUUUUAUGUUUUGUACACUAAUUGCUAAGAUCAUGAAAUUUAUUAAUUCUUUCACGAUCUUUAUUUAUAUUGUCUAUAAUGAUUACCAAUUUUGCAUAUAUUUCCUUGGUCAAUUUUAUUGUAGAUGUUAUUGGCGAAAUUAUAACCUAUGAGGACGUAAAGUCUAUCAAACAAAACGAUAGCAGUCGUAUUAUCAUGAACAUUUAGAUACAAGAUUAUAAGUAAGCUCGCCACAAUUUAUUAAAUUAAGUAAAUAUUUCAACAAUUCUUUAUUUUGAUUCUUAUGCUUAACCUUAUAAUAAUUGUAGAAGCAAUAACAUUGCUGCAACUCUUUGGGAAGACUUUGUCAGAUCAAGUCUGGAUGCAAAUAAAAAUUUAAAUGUCUGUGAUUACCAUGUAGAUCUAAAGUGCGUGUUGAUAGAUAAUUAUUGAACCACCUAAGUUUUAAUAUUUGUUUAAAUUAUGUAACUGAUUGUGGCUCACUGGUCUUCUGACUUGGUAAGUAUAGGUCUAAUAUCAGAAAAGGAGAGUUUGUGCAAAUACUUCGACGUCUAAGCAUUAGGUCCUCUAGAGGAAGAGCAAAAUACAGGGGAGCCACGAUGCACAAAUGUGGACGAUAGGAAGCUCAGUUUUUUGCACUUUCUCAGUAAGAAGUAACUAACAACUUAUAUUACCAUAGCUUAGGAAUCUCAUAAUAUCAGCGGAAUAACUGUUAAAAACUUACUUUAUAUGUUAUCAUAUUAUUAUACAGAUUUUAUAGGACUAAUUGACAACGAGAUGGAAGCUGUAAUGUCUAAUGAUCAUAACUUGAGUCUCCCCCUCCCUUUUCUGUUAUGUCGUUUACUCUUUCAAUAUUGACAUGACGAUUUUUGGACCAGGACGUACGAUAAGACUUGUAUAAAGUGCAACAGAAGGGAGGCAAUUACUAAUUUUGAACUGAGCACAUAUGAAGGGGAAUUAAGUUCAGAUGCUGAAAAUGGAGGUAGUAUAUUAAGGCUUUACCACAAAUUUUUAUUACUUUAUAAUUUUUUUUUACCCUUUUUAGUUAUGUUAUUAUCAUGUUUAACAGUAUGUUUUUUCCAUCAGUGUGGGGCUGCCUUUGUAAUCUAUUGAACUAGGGAAUAGCCUCAUUUAUUUUAGCUAAUUAUCAGAAUGAUAUCACAUGACAAAUGAAAACUCUAAUAACGGAACAUUGAUAAUUUUUAUUUUAUUAGUUACACAUCUUUUAGUAAAUUUUUAGGAUUUUAAUUUCCCUUGGCAAAGUUCCGAAUCGAUGACUAACAUCCGAUGGUUGUGCUACAACCGAGCUCUGGUUAGCUGACCUGUAGCACCAGAUGUUCUUUUCAUUGGUUGCUUAUAGGUAUGACAUAGUAGUUAGAAUAAGUAUUAUUAGUAAAUAUAUAAUGGAAUUAUUUGAAUAUAAAAAUCAAACUGUUAUGUGUUAAAUUUUCAUAUUAGUUUCAUGGCAUAAUUCAGAAUGUAAACAUUUGUUUGGAAUAAAGCUGACACAUGAGAAGGACUAAAAGAAAAGAAAUUUUAGCAAAUUCUAUAUCUCCGGAAUACUGUAAAAUGCAUGUACUCACUUAAUCAGUUAAAUAAAGAUACAAUAAUUAUAAAUAUAAAGUGUUUAGCAAUAUAGCUAUUUGAUACAGAAAUAUCAAAUCCUUUCAAAUAGAAAUAUAGCUAUUUGAAAGUGUUUAGCUACUGUAUACUUAUAUUGCUAUUUCCCUGGGAAUGCUGAUGUUUAGAAUGUUCACUCAGUUACACAAUUUCAUGGAAGCAUGUAUGAAUUGUAGUAAAAUAAGUGAUUAAAUAUUCAUUGACAUAAUUAAGUUUUACAAUACCAUUUUACAACAAGUUAAAUAUUAAAAUUAUUUUAUGAGCAGUACAAAAAUGUUUAUAGCAGCCAUUAGACAUAAUUUUCCUAACUAAAUUUUUUAUGCAAAGUUGCAUCGUUCUUUCUCCUUAUCUUUAUCUUCUUAGAAACAUAUACAAGGAUGUUUUGGUUUGCAGAAUCAGUUUACUACAAUCAAGCGUGGCAUUUUAUUGUAGCUACUUUGAAACACUUGUGUAUAGUCCAGUUCUUGAUUUGGACAGGUACUAAAAAUACUACUUUUUAAUUCUGAACUUAUGUGACUUUUAGGUGUCCUUUGUGUUUGUUGUUUUGGCUUGCAUCAUUACUAUUAGUAAGUAAAACAAUACAAAAGGGGUUGAUUGUGUUGAUUUGUAGAAAUAACACAAAAAUAUUUAUUGCAGCUAUUAGACAUACUUCUCCUAAUUAACCUUUUUAAGCGAAGUUGUUGUGUACCCUUCAUUUAAAUACCAAGUUUUUGCCUUCAGCAAGGUUCGAACGUAAAAAUCAUUUUCUAUUUUCCCUCUUUCUACUUUCCCUUCCAUUCGUCCACAAUUAAAGGAUAAGUCUCACGUAAAAGUUCUUUGAUAAACCCACGAAGUCAACUGUGUGAAUCCGAGGCUACUCUUGGUAUUCUGCUUGCACUUUUUUCCGUAGAAAAUUUACCAAUAAUUGGAUUUUCCAUAAAGCAUCUUGAUAAAAGAAUUGCCAUAGGUUGGAGUUGGUGAAUCAAUUUGAUUUAAACUCUCACUGAAACUAUAGUUCAUUUUCUUUUGUAACAACUUCUUUCAUUUUUAGCUUGAUUUUUCAGGUCAAUUUGCUGUAAAUCUUGGUUGCAGAUAUUGCCGUCUGUAUUCUUUUCUCCUUAAACUUUUAUCUUUCACUCCGUAUUGCACCUAUCUCAGGGUGGUGGUCUUUAUUUUUAACAUUAGGUAUGCCAUAGUAGGAUUCCUACUCUUUUACUUUUCAAGUUUAGACAUGAUCUCUUCGACUAUUUGUUCAAGUUUAUGUUAUAACUUUCUUUACCCUGACUUCUCCCUCCAAGCUAUAUCACAUUUUACAUUUUAGUAGUCUUUUUUCUUUUACUCAAUUAUAUGAAAUAAUAUAAUCAGAAAUAGGACAAUGAUUACCAUGUUUAAGAUAUUGCGGUUGUAGCAGUGAAUGUUGAAUUCUAUUAACCAAAUAGACGAAGGUGAUGUAAAUCUUAUGUUUUAAAUUGGAUUGUAAAAUGCAGUCUUAUAUUAUUUGUCAUUUAAUCACGUUUUUUUGCUUUUACAAAUUGCAGAGUAUUUCUUGCAAACAAGUACUACUCUUUCAGCGGUAAUUGAUAUCCUUGAUGAAGAAAAAAUUGGAAAGACAAUUGCAAAAUGUUGGAUGAUUUACUGGAAAGUCGUCUUCUCCAGAAAAUCACAUCUAUUUUUAAAUAUCAGAUAGGCUCCAUAUGCCACUAGCAGCUUUUAUGGUUACAAAAGUAUGGCCAGAUUAUUGCCUUCAAUAGAGCAGACUACAAUGAAGUAGUUUUUAUCCAAUUUAACCCCUGAUAUUUGAGGUAUUUAAAAACUCCAUUGAUGGUAAUUCAAGUAACUUGG